CGCAAGGCUUCCCCCACAAUCACAUCAGGGACUCCAUGUGCCUGAUGAUGAAAAUAGUAAUAAGGAGAAGAGGAAGAGGAGCUGUCCAGUGGGUACACCUGGUCAGGUAUGACACCAUCUAAGGAGGCAGAUCAUUCACUAUUACCAUGGAAAGGGAAGCUGAUCAAAGUUCACGAGGAAAUAUGGAUGGAGCUACAUAGGUGGGAGUUCUUGAAGAAAACGCACUAGAGGCUGCAGAAGACUCAACAAUGCAGGGCAGAGGUUUCCCUUCCAGCAGGAGAACCACCUAUGGAUAUGUUUAACAAAAGCGGCAAUUUUAUUGAGAUGAAUAUGUUACAGAUGUAGACCAGUGACCGUACAUGACUCGAAUAACGCAGACUUUGCAUGUCUGGAGUUGGCACUAGAGAACACAGGUGCUAAGAUCACAAUUUGAGUGAUAUGUUAGUCUGUCAGCGGAGCACAGAAGGCGAUUCAACACAAUGAAGGAAGGUCCACAGACACAGAAGACACCUCCAAAAUAUACUCGGAAGAAAAGCACUUCAUAGGAGUCACAUUGUGGAUUUGCAUGGGGUCAUGUGGUCUUAUGUUAUUUGGCACGUACCGAUUUCACAGAAAGUUCAGAUUGGACUCAUCAAAAUGUGAUCACAGAAACCUGUCACAACGGAUUCUGAGGUAAUUGCUUAUUAGCACAGGUUUGCUCUAGUGCCUGAUCAGUACCUUUUAAACCUUCACAAUAUCAUAGUGACAACUCCUACUCGUGUGUACCAAGUUUCAUCCAAACUGGAUUAGUACUUCUGAGUGCUUCAUUGUUUUGGGAAGUGAUUGCAUUUACCAUGAAACUAGAGGCACGAAACCAAAAUAUUAAACGUAAAAUGGAGCCAGGUGAUGAGUCAGCUAACGGUCCCGGACAAAAACAAUUACUCGUCUGACGGAGGCAAUGUGCUGUUUUCUUUGAAAGAAAGUUCCCACGAUUCCAUUCAUACCUCUUCACAUACCAAUCAUUCAUUCAUACUUCCUACCAAACCCAGUAAGCCAGAGUUCACAAGUCAAACUUGCGUGAUCCUCACCUUAUCCUCUGCCAAAUGCAAGUAUUUAUCAAAGAUUUGGCAAGCAACCUCAUCUAGCCUAAUUAUAAGGUAAACGUGAACUAACUUGCUCGGAAAUUUGUUGGUUAGAACAUUAUGAAAUGCUAAGAGAUAGUGGGGAAGUAUCAGAGGGUUGUAUCCUGACAUUUCACUUGCCAUUUGAGGAAGCGGACAAACUGCAAGUGCUGCAUUCUUUAAGCAAAAGCACACCCACAUGAGAAAACUGCACGGAGACACAGGUGUCACUAAGAUUUAGCCAAGGGACCAUCAACAUAAAGUUGGGAUUUCAUGAGCUGGUGAAAACAAAACAAGUUUUCUCUUAGGCUAUACCCUGACUGAAGCACUUCUAAUGAUGGCAGAACACAGACAGCCUUGUGAUCCGAAGGAUGCCACUUACUGCAUGAAUGGAGGGAUAUGUUACACAGUACCAUCUAUGGAUCACCUCUCCUGCAGCUGCCCUGAAAAUUACAAAGGAAGCAGAUGCGAGGAGUACCAGCUCCAGAGUCUUGCUUUGAAUGACCCAGACAAAGGGUUAGUUGCAGUGGUGAUCACCCUAGUCAUCCUCAUCCUAGUGGUGCUGGCUGUUGUCAUCUAUUAUCUGCACAAGAUGGUAAAAGAAGGGAAAGAGAACCAACCGGGCCGUGGCCAAGGACACAAUACGGAGAAAUCUGCAAUAUGAGGUUUCCUGCCAAAAUGCAGAUUUGCUUGUAACUAGAAUAAAACAUUUUUCAUUUUGUUGCAGUUAAUCCGAUUAUUUAGAGAGUCUGUAUUUUGAAGUGUUUGGGAAUUGAAUGCCACAUCUAAUCUUUGAUAAGAGACUAAGAAGUUGUAACUUUUUACAUUUCAGUGCAUUUGUUUUAAUGUGCACUUAAAAAGUGCAGUUAAAAUAACCAAAUCAUGUUUUGGGAUAUAUUUGGUAAAACAAUACAAAACAAACAAAACAAAGCACUUAUUAACAAUAAGUGGCUGCUUUGAAAAGUGGUUAUAUUGAAUAAUUAUUUAAUGUUUGGAUAUAUGUAGAUUCCUACUUUAUAUUUCUGAAGGCUGUGUAUUCCCACAGGUUUUGGUUUCUGAUACACAAGUGAACAGUUUAUAGCCUUUUGCUGACUGCAUCCUUCAUAUGUCCCUGUUUUGCAUGUUAUUAAGUCUUAAUUUCAUUUUGAUGUUACCCAUAAUUGCCUCUGAAAACCUCUAGACAGGCUGUAGUAAUCUCACUUCCCAGAAAGCUCAAAGUCGUUCCUUGUCUGGCUUUCUCAAAGCUGGAAUAGCAAGACGACUUACAAAUGGCAAUAUUUACCUCUGUUCAGGUCUAAAUAGGUUCAUCAGUUCCCUUAAAUCUAAUACAGGUAGAGGCGACGCAUUUUUAAAAUAGUAAUGUCUGGUGGACAGGUUGUUGGACUGCUGGGCUGAAUUACCAGUGUCCUCCAUAUUACAAUCAAGUGCAAAAACACAAAAACAAAAAAAAAGAUUGCUGAUAGAGAAGUUACUCUUUAAAAUGUUUAGCAUCAUUAAUCAUUAUCUACACACCUAGUAAAAAGUGAAUGAGACCAGAUUAAUUUUGUCGCUGAGGCCCAUUUUUUCUACUUUUAUUUCUACUUAUACUUUAUGACUCCAAGAAGAAAUACAAUUAGAAUUUGUUUGAAUUAAAAAGUGAAAAGAUAUGUUGACAUUUAGAGAAAGAAAUGUCUUUUCCAUAACCCCACCCCCCCCAAAACUUUAAACCUUUAUUAUAUCUGCUUAGCAUUAUAACUAUUCAUACCACUGGUAAAUGUAGUUUUAAAGUAAUACUUUAAUUUAACCAACAUUUUUUUUUCUUACUGUAAAUAAUUACAUUGUGGACUGGUGCAACCAGAGUCCUUUAUUCCGUUAAAAGUAUCUUAGCAGGGAGCUAAAGAUUAAGGGUGAUGACAAGGAGGC